rnacentral:rRNA from 1 species
CCUACGGGAGGCAGCAGUGGGGAAUUUUGGACAAUGGGCGCAAGCCUGAUCCAGCAAUGCCGCGUGCAGGAUGAAGGCCUUCGGGUUGUAAACUGCUUUUGUACGGAACGAAACGGUCUGCUCUAAUACAGUGGGCUAAUGACGGUACCGUAAGAAUAAGCACCGGCUAACUACGUGCCAGCAGCCGCGGUAAUACGUAGGGUGCGAGCGUUAAUCGGAAUUACUGGGCGUAAAGCGUGCGCAGGCGGUUAUAUAAGACAGAUGUGAAAUCCCCGGGCUCAACCUGGGACCUGCAUUUGUGACUGUAUAGCUAGAGUGCGGCAGAGGGGGAUGGAAUUCCGCGUGUAGCAGUGAAAUGCGUAGAUAUGCGGAGGAACACCGAUGGCGAAGGCAAUCCCCUGGGCCUGCACUGACGCUCAUGCACGAAAGCGUGGGGAGCAAACAGGAUUAGAUACCCUGGUAGUCCACGCCCUAAACGAUGUCAACUGGUUGUUGGGUCUUCACUGACCCAGUAACCGAAGCUAACGCGUGAAGUUGAACCGUCCGUGGGUUAGGUUACGGUCCGCGAGGUUAGAACGACGAAGGAAGUUAGACGGCGNGAGACGNGCGACGGCGACGACGAGGGAGGAGG